rnacentral:tRNA from 1 species
UCCUUGAUAGCUCAGUUGGUAAAGAAUCUGCCUGCAAUGCAGGAGACCCUGGUUCGAUUCCUGGGCCAGGAA